AACCCCGGAAAUAAACGGAUUUGCGGUUUCCUAAACCGUAGGCCGCGUGUUCAAAUCUCGCCGGGGGCA
rnacentral:tRNA from 1 species